GACGAACGCUGGCGGCGUGCUUAACACAUGCAAGUCGAGCGGUAAGGCCCUUUCGGGGGUACGACGAGCGGCGAACGGGUGGAGUAACACGUGGGUGGACCUCGCCCUCCAGCUCUGGGAUAAGCCUGGGAAACCGGGUACUAAUACUGGAUAUGACUCCAUGACGCAUGUUGGUGGGGUGGAAAGCCUUGUGCGGCUGAGGAUGGCCCGCGGCCU
rnacentral:rRNA from 1 species